rnacentral:misc_RNA from 1 species
AAGUCGUAACAAGGUCUCCGUAGGUGAACCUGCGGAGGGAUCAUUAACACGUUUCCAAAACGUUUAUCAACCAAAUCAACGUGAACUAGUACCAACUCCCUUGUCAGUGUGACGAACGAAUAAUCAUCAGGGUGGAGAUCGGCUUCGGCCGGACUAUGACUCGUUCUAGGGGCCCUUUGAGGCUCCAAUCCGCUGGCAAGUGUCUUUGCGACCACCUGGCAGUCUACAUUCGUGUAGCGUUCUGCCGAAUUUGUUUAACCCAAUUUUUUUAACCCCUUUCACAACAUACUAAUAACUGAACCAUUUUUCAUUGAGACGCCCUGGCUUCGGCCAUGCAACGGCUCAUGAAUACGAUAUACGUAAUGCUGAACAACUCUUAGCAAUGGAUAUCUUGGUUCUC